UGGGGAAUAUUGCACAAUGGGGGAAACCCUGAUGCAGCGACGCCGCGUGAACGAAGAAGGUCUUCGUAUCGUAAAGUUCUUUCCUAUGGGAAGAUAAUGACAGUACCAUAGAAGAAAGCUCCGGCUAAAUACGUGCCAGCAGCCGCGGUAAUACGUAUGGAGCGAGCGUUGUCCGGAAUUAUUGGGCGUAAAGGGUACGCAGGCGGUUUAAUAAGUCGAAUGUUAAAGAUCGGGGCUCAACCCCGUGAAGCAUUGGAAACUGAUAAACUUGAGUAGUGGAGAGGAAAGUGGAAUUCAUAGUGUAGUGGUGAAAUACGUAGAUAUUAGGAGGAAUACCAGUAGCGAAGGCGACUUGCUGGACACAAACUGACGCUGAGGUACGAAGGCGUGGGGAGCAAACAGG
rnacentral:rRNA from 1 species